rnacentral:rRNA from 1 species
CGACCGCUGGCGGCGUGCCUAAUACAUGCACGUAGACCGCUGAAGGAGGAGCUUGCUUCUCUGGAUGAGUUGCGAACGGGUGAGUAACGCGUAGGUAACCUGCCUGGUAGCGGGGGAUAACUAUUGGAAACGAUAGCUAAUACCGCAUAAUAGUAGAUGUUGCAUGACAUUUGCUUAAAAGGUGCAAUUUCAUCACUACCAGAUGGACCUGCGUUGUAUUAGCUAGUUGGUGGGGUAACGGCUCACCAAGGCGACGAUACAUAGCCGACCUGAGAGGGUGAGCGGCCACACUGGGACUGAGACACGGCCCAGACUCCUACGGGAGGCAGCAGUAGGGAAUCUUCGGAAAUGGACGGAAGUCUGACCGAGCAACGAAGCGUGAGUGAAGAAGGUUUUCGGAUCGUAAAGCUCUGUUGUAAGAGAAGAACGAGUGUGAGAGUGGAAAGUUCACACUGUGACGGUAUCUUACCAGAAAGGGACGGCUAACUACGUG